rnacentral:sRNA from 1 species
AAAGGAAAAAUCCACUGCACCUCCACUUGGUGACUGACGCCGUGGCCAGAAACAUCCUGGAGACGCUCUUCCACACAUGGAUGGUGCCUGCUGUCCGUGUCAGCUUUUACCAUGCCGACGAGCUCAAGCCCCAGGUCUCCUGGAUCCCCAACAAGCACUACUCCGGCCUCUAUGGGCUAAUGAAGCUGGUGCUGCCCAGUGCCUUGCCCGCUGAGCUGGCCCGCGUCAUUGUCCUGGACACGGAUGUCACCUUCGCCUCUGACAUCUCGGCACUCUGGGCACUCUUCGCUCACUUUUCUGACACGCAGGCGAUCGGUCUCGUGGAGAACCAGAGUGACUGGUACCUGGGCAACCUCUGGAAGAACCACAGGCCCUGGCCUGCCUUGGGCCGGGGAUUUAACACAGGUGUGAUCCUGCUGCGGCUGGACCGACUCCGGCAGGCUGGCUGGGAGCAGAUGUGGAGGCUGACGGCCAGGCGGGAGCUCCUUACCCUGCCUGCCACCUCACUGGCUGACCAGGUCUGAGGAAGCCUUGCCGGGUGGGGUGUGGCAGGCUGGGGGCUGGGAUGUGAUGGGUGUCUCUGCUCAGGACAUAUUCAACGCUGUGAUCAAGGAGCACCCGGGGCUAGUGCGGCGUCUGCCUUGUGUCUGGAAUGUGCAGCUGUCAGAUCACACACUGGCCGAGCGCUGCUACUCUGAGGCGUCUGACCUCAAGGUGAUCCACUGGAACUCACCAAAGAAGCUUCGGGUGAAGAACAAGCAUGUGGAAUUCUUCCGCAAUUUCUACCUGACCUUCCUGGGGUACGAUGGGAACCUGCUGCGGAGAGAGCUCUUUGUGUGCCCCAGCCAGCCCCCGCCUGGUGCUGAGCAGUUGCAGCAGGCCCUGGCACAACUGGACGAGGAAGAUCCCUGCUUUGAGUUCCGGCAGCAGCAGCUCACUGUGCACCGUGUGCACGUCACUUUCCUGCCCCAUGAACCGCCACCCCCCCGGCCUCACGAUGUCACCCUUGUGGCUCAGCUGUCCAUGGACCGGCUGCAGAUGUUGGAAGCCCUGUGCAGGCACUGGCCUGGCCCCAUGAGCCUGGCCUUGUACCUGACAGACGCAGAAGCUCAGCAGUUCCUGCAUUUUGUCGAGGCCUCACCAGUGCUUGCUGCCCGGCAGGACGUGGCCUACCACGUGGUGUACCGUGAGGGGCCCCUAUACCCUGUCAACCAGCUUCGCAACGUGGCCUUGGCCCAGGCCCUCACGCCUUACGUCUUCCUCAGUGACAUUGACUUCCUGCCUGCCUAUUCUCUCUACAACUACCUCAGGGAGGCCAGGGCCUGCUUCAACAGCAGCUCCACCUGUGGUUGUGUCCACCCGUCGCAUCAGGCAAGAUGGCCCAUGGUGGUCUGGUCCUGUGGUUAAUGCCCUGAUGUCACUGGCCCAGUCCUAGAGGCCCCGCUCUUCUCCCCUGCUCAUGGGUGCUCCUCCUCAGGGCCUCCAUUGAGCAGCUGGGGCUGGGCAGCCAGCGCAAGGCAGCGCUGGUGGUGCCGGCAUUCGAGACCCUGCGCUACCGCUUCAGCUUCCCCCAUUCCAAGGUGGAGCUGCUGGCCUUGCUGGAUGCCGGCGCUCUCUAUACCUUCAGGUACCACGAGUGGCCCCGGGGCCACGCACCCACAGACUAUGCCCGCUGGCGGGAGGCUCAGGCCCCGUACCGUGUGCAAUGGGCGGCCGACUAUGAACCCUACGUGGUGGUGCCACGAGACUGUCCCCGCUAUGAUCCUCGCUUUGUGGGCUUCGGCUGGAACAAGGUGGCCCACAUUGUGGAGCUGGAUGCCCAGGAAUAUGAGCUCCUGGUGCUGCCCGAGGCCUUCACCAUCCAUCUGCCCCAUGCUCCAAGCCUGGACAUCUCCCGCUUCCGCUCCAGCCCCACCUAUCGUGACUGCCUCCAGGCCCUCAAGGACGAAUUCCACCAGGACUUGUCCCGCCACCAUGGGGCUGCUGCCCUCAAAUACCUCCCGGCCCUGCAGCAACCCCAGAGCCCUGCCCGAGGCUGAGGAUGGGCCGGCGCUGCCCCUCAUCUUAGCAUUGGGCAGACACCAGGGCAACCUGCCAUCCGCCCUCCCUGCUAUUUAAAUUAUUUAAGGUCUCUGGGAAGGGCUGGGGUGGAGCAUCUGUGGGGUGGGGUCUUCCCCUUGCUGCUAUUGUAUGGCUGGGGACUGGUCUCCCUCUGCCCCCAGCCAGUUUGGGGCUGGUUCCCCCAUCUUGAAUUGUUUAUCCCUUUUUCAUAAUUAAAGUUUUAAAACAUC